UGCGUAGGGACCAAGCGUUGUUCGGAUUUACUGGGCGUAAAGGGCGCGUAGGCGGCGUGGUAAGUCACUUGUGAAAUCUCUGAGCUUAACUCAGAACGGCCAAGUGAUACUGCUGUGCUAGAGUGCAGAAGGGGCAAUCGGAAUUCUUGGUGUAGCGGUGAAAUGCGUAGAUAUCAAGAGGAACACCUGAGGUGAAGACGGGUUGCUGGGCUGACACUGACGCUGAGGCGCGAAAGCCAGGGGAGCAAACGGG
rnacentral:rRNA from 1 species